rnacentral:rRNA from 1 species
GACGAACCGUGCGAACGUUAUUCGGAAUCACUGGGCUUAAGGGGAGCGUAGGCGGGCUAUCAAGUCUGGGGUGAAAUCCCACGGCUCAACCGUGGAACUGCCUUAGAUACUGACGGCCUCGAGGGAGAUAGGGGCAUGCGGAACUGUAGGUGGAGCGGUGAAAUGCGUUGAUAUCUACAGGAACUCCGGUGGCGAAAGCGGCGUGCUGGAUCUCUUCUGACGCUGAGGCUCGAAAGCUAGGGGAGCAAACGGG